UGCCAGCCGCCGCGGUAAUACGAAAGGUGCGAGCGUUAAUCGGAAUUACUGGGCGUAAAGCGCGCGUAGGCGGCUAUUUAAGUCUGAUGUGAAAUCCCCGGGCUCAACCUGGGAAUGGCAUCGGAUACUGGGUAGCUAGAGUGCAGUAGAGGAAGGUGGAAUUCCAGGUGUAGCGGUGAAAUGCGUAGAGAUCUGGAGGAACACCAGUGGCGAAGGCGGCCUUCUGGACUGACACUGACGCUGAGGUGCGAAAGCGUGGGGAUCAAACAGGAUUAGAUA
rnacentral:rRNA from 1 species